rnacentral:rRNA from 1 species
GAUUAACGCUGGCGGCGUGCAUGAGACAUGCAAGUCGAGGGGCAGCAAGGGUAGCAAUACCUGUUGGCGACCGGCAAACGGGUGCGGAACACGUACAGAACCUUCCUUUAAGCGGGGGAUAGCCCAUAGAAAUGUGGAUUAAUACCCCAUAGUAAUAUUAGUUGGCAUCAAUUGAUAUUUAAAGUAAUUUAUCACUUAAAGAUGGCUGUGCGGCUGAUUAGGUAGUUGGU